UCCUACGGGAGGCAGCAGUGGGGAAUUUUGGACAAUGGGCGCAAGCCUGAUCCAGCCAUGCCGCGUGCAGGAUGAAGGCCUUCGGGUUGUAAACUGCUUUUGUACGGAACGAAAAGACUCUGUUUAAUACAUGGGGUCCAUGACGGUACCGUAAGAAUAAGCACCGGCUAACUACGUGCCAGCAGCCGCGGUAAUACGUAGGGUGCGAGCGUUAAUCGGAAUUACUGGGCGUAAAGCGUGCGCAGGCGGUUAUAUAAGACAGAUGUGAAAUCCCCGGGCUCAACCUGGGAACUGCAUUUGUGACUGUAUAGCUAGAGUACGGCAGAGGGGGAUGGAAUUCCGCGUGUAGCAGUGAAAUGCGUAGAUAUGCGGAGGAACACCGAUGGCGAAGGCAAUCCCCUGGGCCUGUACUGACGCUCAUGCACGAAAGCGUGGGGAGCAAACAGGAUUAGAUACCCUGGUAGUCCACGCCCUAAACGAUGUCAACUGGUUGUUGGGUAUUCACUGA
rnacentral:rRNA from 1 species